CUCGCCGUAGCACAACGGAUAGUGCUUUCGCCUCCUAAGCGAAGGAUUCAGGUUCGAUUCCUGACGGUGAGACCA
rnacentral:tRNA from 2 species